AGAUUAAGUUAUUAAGGGCGCACGGUGGAUGCCUUGGCACUAGAAGCCGAUGAAGGACGUUACUAACGACGAUAUGCUUUGGGGAGCUGUAAGUAAGCUUUGAUCCAGAGAUUUCCGAAUGGGGAAACCCAGCAUGAGUUAUGUCAUGUUAUCGAUAUGUGAAUACAUAGCAUAUCUGAAGGUAGACGCGGAGAACUGAAACAUCUUAGUACCCGCAGGAAGAGAAAGAAAAAUCGAUUCCCUGAGUAGCGGCGAGCGAAACGGGAAGAGCCCAAACCAACGAGCUUGCUUGUUGGGGUUGUAGGACACUCUAUACGGAGUUACAAAAGAAUAAACUAGACGAAUCAUCUGGAAAGAUGAAUCAAAGAAGGUAAUAAUCCUGUAGUCGAAAGUUUGUUCACUCUUGAGUGGAUCCUGAGUACGACGGAACACGAGAAAUUCCGUCGGAAUCCGGGAGGACCAUCUCCCAAGGCUAAAUACUCUCUAGUGACCGAUAGUGAACCAGUACCGUGAGGGAAAGGUGAAAAGUACCCCGGAAGGGGAGUGAAAUAGAACUUGAAACCGUGUGCUUACAAGUAGUCAGAGCCCGUUAAUGGGUGAUGGCGUGCCUUUUGUAGAAUGAACCGGCGAGUUACGAUUUGAUGCAAGGUUAAGCAGUGAAUGUGGAGCCGUAGCGAAAGCGAGUCUGAAUAGGGCGUUGAGUAUUUGGUCGUAGACCCGAAACCAGGUGAUCUACCCAUGACCAGGUUGAAGUUCAGGUAACACUGAAUGGAGGACCGAACCGACUUACGUUGAAAAGUGAGCGGAUGAGUUGUGGGUAGCGGAGAAAUUCCAAUCGAACCUGGAGAUAGCUGGUUCUCUCCGAAAUAGCUUUAGGGCUAGCCUCAAGUGAUGAUUAUUGGAGGUAGAGCACUGUUUGGACGAGGGGCCCUUAUCGGGUUACCGAAUUCAGACAAACUCCGAAUGCCAAUCAAUUUAACUUGGGAGUUAGAACGCGGGUGAUAAGGUCCGUGUUCGAAAGGGAAACAGCCCAGACCACCAGCUAAGGUCCCAAAAUAUAUGUUAAGUGGAAAAGGAUGUGGCGUUGCCCAGACAACUAGGAUGUUGGCUUAGA
rnacentral:rRNA from 1 species